rnacentral:rRNA from 1 species
CCUACGGGUGGCUGCAGUGGGGAAUAUUGGACAAUGGGGGAAACCCUUAUCCAGCGACGCCGCGUGAGGGAAGAAGGUUUUCGGAUCGUAAACCUCUGUCAGUGGGGACGAUAAUGACGGUACCUACGUAUGAAGGCACUGCUAACUACGUGCCAGCAGCCGCGGUAAUACGUAGGUGGCAAGCGUUAUCCGGAAUUACUGGGUGUAAAGGGAGCGGAGGCGGGUUGUCAAGUCAGAAGUGAAAAUUAUGGGCUCAACCCAGAAGGUGCAUUUGAAACUGAAAUUCUUGAGUGAAGUAGAGGAAAGCGGAAUUCCAAGUGUAGCGGUGAAAUGCGUAGAGAUAAGGAGGAACACCAGUGGCGAAGGCGACUUGCUGGGCUGUAACUGACGCUGAGGCUCGAAAGCGUGGGGAGCAAACAGGAUUAGAUACCCUUGUAGUC